CCUGGGGUGCCCGCAGGGGAGCCCUAGCACAGGUGCUGCAUGGCCGUCGUCAGCUCGUGCCGUGAGGUGUUGGGUUAAGUCCCGCAACGAGCGCAACCCCGCCGUUAGUUGCCAGCGGUUCGGCCGGGCACUCUAACGGGACUGCCCGCGAAAGCGGGAGGAAGGAGGGGACGACGUCUGGUCAGCAUGGCCCUUACGGCCUGGGCGACACACGUGCUACAAUGCCCACUACAAAGCGAUGCCACCCGGCAACGGGGAGCUAAUCGCAAAAGGUGGGCCCAGUUCGGAUUGGGGUCUGCAACCCGACCCCAUGAAGCCGGAAUCGCUAGUAAUCGCGGAUCAGCCAUGCCGCGGUGAAUACGUUCCCGGGCCUU
rnacentral:rRNA from 1 species